GGCGUGUAUAAGACAUGCAAGUCGAACGGGGCAUUUCAGGUAGCAAUAUUUGGGAUGUUCAGUGGCGAACGGGUGCGUAACACGUGGAUAACAUUCCGGGAAGCGGGGGAUAGCCCAGGGAAACUUGGAUUAAUACCGCAUGUGGUCGAAAGACUAAAGGUGGGGACCGCAAGGCCUGCCACUUCCCGAUUGGUCCGCGGCCUAUCAGCUAGUUGGUGAGGUAAUGGCUCACCAAGGCUACGACGGGUAGCUGGUCUUAGAGGACGACCAGCCACACUGGAACUGAGACACGGUCCAGACACCUACGGGUGGCAGCAGUCGAGAAUCUUUCACAAUGGGGGCAACCCUGAUGGAGCGACGCCGCGUGGAGGAUAAGGUCUUCGGAUUGUAAACUCCUGUCAUGCGAGAACAAGGUAGUUGGGUUAAUAACCUAGCUGCUUGAUGGUACCGCAAGAGGAAGAGACGGCUAACUCUGUGCCAGCAGCCGCGGUAAUACAGAGGUCUCAAGCGUUGUUCGGAAUUACUGGGCGUAAAGCGUGCGUAGGCGGCUUGGUAAGUCAGAUGUGAAAUCCCGGGGCUCAACCUCGGAACUGCAUCCGAUACUGUCAGGCUAGAGUAGUGGAGGGGAGUCUGGAAUUCACGGUGUAGCAGUGAAAUGCGUAGAUAUCGUGAGGAACACUAGUGGCGAAGGCGAGACUCUGGACACUUACUGACGCUGAGGCACGAAGGCUAGGGUAGCGAAAGGGAUUAGAUACCCCUGUAGUCCUAGCAGUAAACGGUGCACGUUUGGUGUGGGAGGAUUUGACCCCUUCCGUGCCGGAGCUAACGCGUUUAAACGUGCCGCCUGGGGAGUACGGCCGCAAGGCUAAAACUCAAAGAAAUUGACGGGGACCCGCACAAGCGGUGGAGUAUGUGGCUUAAUUCGAUGCAACGCGAAGAACCUUACCUGGCCUUGACAUGCAUUGCUAAACCGGUGAAAGCCGGGGAGACUUCGGUCACCUUGCACAGACAGGUGCUGCAUGGCCGUCGUCAGCUCGUGUCGUGAGAUGUUUGGUUAAGUCCAGCAACGAGCGCAACCCCUGUGAAUAGUUGCCAGCACGUAAUGGUGGGGACUCUAUUCAGACUGCCCGGGUCAACCAGGAGGAAGGAGGGGAUGACGUCAGGUCAGUAUGGCCCUUACGCCUUGGGCUGCACACGUACUACAAUGCCCAGAACAAUGAGAACCGAUCCCGCGAGGAGGAGGAAAUCUACAAAACUGGGCCCAGUUCGGAUUGGAGGCUGCAACUCGCCUCCAUGAAGUUGGAAUCGCUAGUAAUGGCACAUCAGCUACGGUGCCGUGAAUACGUUCCCGGGUCUUGUACACACCGCCCGUCACAUCAUGGAA
rnacentral:rRNA from 1 species